GUGCUUUUCGUGUCAUCCAAUAAAAUUGGAACAAUACAGAGAAAAGUAGCGCGACCCUUGUACGACAAGAGUUGUCUAAAUCGAAAAAUGGUCCAAAUUUUU